GUAUGGGGAUCUGCCCGAUAGAGGGGGAUAACUACUGGAAACGGUGGCUAAUACCGCAUAAUGUCUACAGACCAAAGCAGGGGCUCUUCGGACCUUGCACUAUCGGAUGAACCCAUAUGGGAUUAGCUAGUAGGUGGGGUAAAGGCUCACCUAGGCGACGAUCUCUAGCUGGUCUGAGAGGAUGAUCAGCCACACUGGGACUGAGACACGGCCCAG
rnacentral:rRNA from 1 species